AUCACUGAUUAGCAGGAAUCUCACCUUGCCAAGCCUUUAAAGCCUUGCAGAAAAUGCACCAAUUAAGUGUUCAAAUCCUUCAGCCUUAAGCCAUAUGUCAAGAGAAAAUAAUUCACUGGCACAGGGCUUUGGGUCAAGCUUCUUAGCCCAGCAGUUGAUGUGAUAAUGCUUUAGUAUUGUGCUGCUUGCCCACCCAGGAGGAAGGAGAGGGAGACCUGGCUAUUGUUUCUCUCUACAGCAGUGCUCUGAAGAAUAUGAAUGGCAGAAAGGGCAAGCACCUGUCCACACAGUCAAUGCAGUGUUGCCAUGAGAUGCUACAGCCUCAGCUCCAAGCAGCAAGAAGAAGCCCAAGAGCUUAAUUGAAAAGAAGCUAAAGAAAGCUAAGAAUAUUCCAGGCAUCCUCCUACAGGAAGACAGUUGCUUCUGCAUUGAGAUAAAUACUGGAUGUUCAAAUACCACGAGGCAACUCUUGCCCAUACACCCUCAAUUCUUGCAGCUCAGCAUCGCUGAAGAGACAUGCAUCAGGGUAGGAAGCAGCACAGGGACCUGAAGGUGGGACAUACCAAGUUUUAGACCUACAAACUAGUUGAUAAGGCAACCUCUCCCAGAGCUCAUAUUUGUCCAUGGAACAAAUUUGUGAGGUACAUAGCAGCUCUAUCUCUAAGCAGAGCCAAGUGUGAAAGGGAGAAAAGGAAGGAGAGUAAUGUAAAUUUUGUACAGACACAGAAUAGAGAGAUUAGAUAUUGUGAACAAACAGUGGAUAUGAGUUUGUUUUAAGCUGAGUUUCUCCACCUGCCUAUAGUUUUCUCAUACACAUAUGACCAAAAUACUGGGCAUGGGUUUGCUUUUACAAGGUUUCUGCAUAAAUGUUUAUGUGCUGUGAAUUAAAUCAUGCACUUAAAGAGGGAAGAGGAUGAAAUGGAAAACUUGCUAACCCUAAUGAUGAAUGGAUUGCUCAUUACUCAUACUAACGAACAGCCAAUCCAGGCAGGAAGUUUCCAUCCAGUAAAUGUAUCUCUCUGAAAAUUUGCCAGGUAGAGGUAAAGAAAAAUUUUACUUUUGCCACUUUGGAUUAUUUCUUGAAGGAUUCUGGACUCUUGCUGCUGGAGGAAUAAAGAAGAACCUACAAUACUAAGAAAUACUAAAUCACUGGCAUAAUUUAAGUUCAACAAACCAAACUUUUCUGUUUGUAUUUCUCUAUAACCUCUUCUACCUUCUUUCUCUAUAACCUCUUCUACCUUCUGGUCUAUCAGCUAGAAAUAUUUUAUAAUGUGUGUGUCUGUCUUACUUUGUUAAAACUGACAGUAUGAAUUAGCCACUAAGGUAAAGGCUUUGUCAACAUAUGAGUAGUGUAAAAUAGCCAGUUUUUCAGUCCUCUCUGUUAAAUAUUUUAUUUAUUUCAGUACUUUGGAAGACAAGCAAGAGCUGUACCUUCAGCCAGCCCUUUUGCUUUUAAUCUUUUCAAACAUAUAGAUUUUAUUUUUUUUUCCAAAUUCAUCUGAGUUGACCCAUAGCUAUAAAUGUUCUUUGGAUACAAUUUGUUUGAAGAAACCCAUAACCCACAGCUAUUUUCACCUCUGUGUGCAUGUGUAUUUGUAUGGUAUCUUCACAUCAAGAAUUCACAGGUACAAAUAAAUGCUCUCUGCUCAUUCUUCUAUGAGCCAUCUUUUUGUUAUACACAUACAAGGGGAGCCUGUUCUAUGAGUAGCUUUUAGGUGAGAAGGACUAGGUGGGAGCAGGCCAGGUUUCACACAUCAUUAAACUCUUGUAAUAAAUUGAUAAAACUCCACCCUAUGAGAAGUUGAAUUCUUUGCCCAGACUUCAUCUACUGGAAGAUUAUGGAAGAACUAAGCUCCCAUAUGUCUGUUUUUUUCACAGACAUUUCCUGUUUUUCUACCUGAAUUUUUUUCUGGGACAAAUUUCCAGAUUCCUUUUGAUGUUUUUUCAGGAUUUCUGGUUGUCUGGCAGUCUGAACAGAGUGCUGCUCACUUCUACCCAUUUUCAGGCAUUACUGCAAAGCCCACAUUAGUCAGCUACACAGAACUGGUACCAUAA